CAGUAGCCACGGGAAUACGAAGGGGGCUAGCGUUGUUCGGAAUUACUGGGCGUAAAGCGCGUGUAGGCGGGUCCUUAAGUCAGGGGUGAAAUGCCAAGGCUCAACCUUGGAACUGCCUUUGAUACUGGGGAUCUUGAGUCCGGGAGAGGUGAGUGGAACUGCGAGUGUAGAGGUGAAAUUCGUAGAUAUUCGCAAGAACACCAGUGGCGAAGGCGGCUCACUGGCCCGGAACUGACGCUGAGACGCGAAAGCGUGGGGAGCAAACAGGAUUAGAGACCCCGGUAGUCCCUGUCUCUUAUAA
rnacentral:rRNA from 1 species